rnacentral:lncRNA from 12 species
UUGAUUGUCUUUCAGGAGAGGAGGGGAAAGGGAAGUGCAAGUGGCAGUAGCUCAUUUCAGACUGCGCUGUAGUCUCUUCGAAGUCCGCCGCCACAUCACCGGGCCCGCACAGACUCUUUGCCAAUGGCGCCUUUUACUGCUCUGGCAGCGGCCCUGGGGCCGGGAUUGUCCUGGUAUUGUCCAAUCACCGCGCGAGAAUGGAGAGUUACGGCAGAAUCAGCCAAUGGCAGCGAGGGGCGGGCUCUGCACACUGUCUUCCCUUUCCCCGAGCUCUGCCAUUUCUUGGAACACUCGCCUGAGGAGCGGCUCCCGCGCUGGGCCCAGCCCGGCCCGGGCAUCGGGCCAAGGAACCGCUGCUGCCCUGAACCGCCGGGAGCUCGGGGUGAGCGGGAGCUGAGGGCGGUGGGAGCUGGGGGUGAGUCCGGGGUGGAGCCGGGACCCACGUGGAGCCUUGGCAGGAGCCCGAGGCAGGCAAGGGAUGUUAGAGAGAUUCCCCGGGGUUGUGCGGGAAAAUUCACGUCUUCAGAGUUUUGUGUGCCCAAAGAAAACAGAGGGGUCCUGUAAAAGUGACUUUAUUGAUGAACAAAGGAAGAGGCCAUGCGGCAUUUGCCAUGCGUUCUCUAAAACGCAGCCUCCUUUUUAUCCUCAUUUUCCUGGCCGCAUCUCCCUCUCCCUUUCCCCACUGGCUGAGGCACUUGGAAGGUUCAGAAUUCCCGAUCCUGCUUCUGCAUGUCCCUUUUAAUAUGCACCACCACAAAAAUAAUCUUACUGCUUUCACUCCGUCCUCUUCUUUCCUCAAGAACAGUCUUUACAAUCUUUUACUUACUAUGUAGUGAAUCUCUUUUUCUUGCUUCUCUGUCAUUUUCGGACUAUUGUAAGUGCCCUCCCUCCCUGUCCUUUUGUAGCCAUUUCUGGAUCAGGAGGCCUGCAUCCCCUUGCUCAGCUGCUGAAUGAGCUGCACUCAGCAAGGUGUCGUGCAUGGGAAAAAGAUGAGAGUUACUGCAGCACAUCAGAUGAGGAACAGCAUUCGUUUAUGGCCAUGCUCAGCCAGGGAAUCAUGAAAGUGUGUCCCAUUCCCAUCCUUUCUACAUUUGGACUGGAAUAUGAGUCCCUUUCUUAUUUCCGUUUUUAUCUGUUUCACCACUUCACGGUUAUAAUCUAUUUGCAAACAUCAGUUUCAGUCAUUUAAUUUUCCACAAAUGUUGCCUUUUUCCUUGGCUUGGUUGGGUCGGCAGGAAGGUCAGGAGCUCGAACUGUCUGAUCGGUUAUUAUUUCGAGGACAGCUUGUAAUCUUGUAAUUCAAAUGAUAAAUGUGUACUUUUCCCCAGCAGUAUAAAUUUGCAUUUCCAAAGCUCCUCUCCUGGUUGCCUGAAACCAAUACUUCUGUUCCAGAGCACCAUUGGAUGACUCACAUGUGUCCCCCUUCUAACCUGCUUUUUACUUGAUAUUUUAGUGUUAAAGAGUCAAGGCGUUACUUGAUUCUUGCCAGGAUCUGCGACAGAAAUAAUUUUAUCCACACAUAGCCCGGGUGUGCAGAGAACAUCAUUCCAUGGCACGUGAGUUUUACUAGAUUUAUUUCAUAAGUUUCAUA